rnacentral:rRNA from 1 species
GACGAACGCUGGCGGCGUGCCUAAUACAUGCCAGUAGAACGCUGAAGGAGGAGCUUGCUUCUCUGGAUGAGUUGCGAACGGGUGAGUAACGCGUGGGUAACCUGCCUGGUAGCGGGGGAUAACUAUUGGAAACGAUAGCUAAUACCGCAUAAUAGUAGAUGUUGCAUGACAUUUGCUUAAAAGGUGCAAUUGCAUCACUACCAGAUGGACCUGCGUUGUAUUAGCUAGUUGGUGGGGUAACGGCUCACCAAGGCGACGAUACAUAGCCGACCUGAGAGGGUGAUCGGCCACACUGGGACUGAGACACGGCCCAGACUCCUACGGGAGGCAGCAGUAGGGAAUCUCCGGCAAUGGACGGAAGUCUGACCGAGCAACGCCGCGUGAGUGAAGAAGGUUUUCGGAUCGUAAAGCUCUGUUGUAAGAGAAGAACGAGUGUGAGAGUGGAAAGUUCACACUGUGACGGUAUCUUACCAGAAAGGGACGGCUAACUACGUG